rnacentral:rRNA from 1 species
AUUGAACGCUGGCGGCAUGCCUUACACAUGCAAGUCGAACGGUAACGCGGGGCAACCUGGCGACGAGUGGCGAACGGGUGAGUAAUAUAUCGGAACGUGCCCAGUAGUGGGGGAUAGCCCGGCGAAAGCCGGAUUAAUACCGCAUACGACCUACGGGUGAAAGGCGGGGGAUCGCAAGACCUCGCGCUAUUGGAGCGGCCGAUAUCAGAUUAGGUAGUUGGUGGGGGUAAAGCCUACCAAGCCUACGAUCUGUAGCUGGUCUGAGAGGACGACCAGCCACACUGGGACUGAGACACGGCCCAGACUCCUACGGGAGGCAGCAGUGGGAAUUUUGGACAAUGGGCGCAAGCCUGAU